rnacentral:rRNA from 1 species
GAGUGGCGAACUGGUGAGUAACACGUGGGAAACCUGCCCAGAAGCGGGGGAUAACACCUGGAAACAGAUGCUAAUACCGCAUAACAACUUGGACCGCAUGGUCCGAGUUUGAAAGAUGGCUUCGGCUAUCACUUUUGGAUGGUCCCGCGGCGUAUUAGCUAGAUGGUGGGGUAACGGCUCACCAUGGCAAUGAUACGUAGCCGACCUGAGAGGGUAAUCGGCCACAUUGGGACUGAGACACGGCCCAAACUCCUACGGGAGGCAGCAGUAGGGAAUCUUCCACAAUGGACGAAAGUCUGAUGGAGCAACGCCGCGUGAGUGAAGAAGGGUUUCGGCUCGUAAAACUCUGUUGUUAAAGAAGAACAUAUCUGAGAGUAACUGUUCAGGUAUUGACGGUAUUUAACCAGAAAGCCACGGCUAACUACGUGCCAGCAGCCGCGGUAAUACGUAGGUGGCAAGCGUUGUCCGGAUUUAUUGGGCGUAAAGCGAGCGCAGGCGGUUUUUUAAGUCUGAUGUGAAAGCCUUCGGCUCAACCGAAGAAGUGCAUCGGAAACUGGGAAACUUGAGUGCAGAAGAGGACAGUGGAACUCCAUGUGUAGCGGUGAAAUGCGUAGAUAUAUGGAAGAACACCAGUGGCGAAGGCGGCUGUCUGGUCUGUAACUGACGCUGAGGCUCGAAAGUAUGGGUAGCAAACAGGAUUAGAUACCCUGGUAGUCCAUACCGUAAACGAUGAAUGCUAAGUGUUGGGAGGGUUUCCGCCCUUCAGUGGCUGCAGCUAACGCAUUAAGCAUUCCGCCUGGGGAGUACGGCCGCAAGGCUGAAACUCAAAGGAAUUGACGGGGGCCCGCACAAGCGGUGGAGCAUGUGGUUUAAUUCGAAGCUACGCGAAGAACCUUACCAGGUCUUGACAUACUAUGCAAAUCUAAGAGAUUAGACGUUCCCUUCGGGGACAUGGAUACAGGUGGUGCAUGGUUGUCGUCAGCUCGUGUCGUGAGAUGUUGGGUUAAGUCCCGCAACGAGCGCAACCCUUAUUAUCAGUUGCCAGCAUUAAGUUGGGCACUCUGGUGAGACUGCCGGUGACAAACCGGAGGAAGGUGGGGAUGACGUCAAAUCAUCAUGCCCCUUAUGACCUGGGCUACACACGUGCUACAAUGGAUGGUACAACGAGUUGCGAACUCGCGAGAGUAAGCUAAUCUCUUAAAGCCAUUCUCAGUUCGGAUUGUAGGCUGCAACUCGCCUACAUGAAGUCGGAAUCGCUAGUAAUCGCGGAUCAGCAUGCCGCGGUGAAUACGUUCCCGGGCCUUGUACACACCGCCCGUCACACCAUGAGAGUUUGUAACACCCAAAGUCGGUGGGGUAACCUUUUAGGAACCAGCCGCCUAAGGUGGGACAGAUGAUU